rnacentral:rRNA from 1 species
UACGGGAGGCAGCAGUGGGGAAUUUUCCGCAAUGGGCGAAAGCCUGACGGAGCAAUACCGCGUGAGGGAAGACGGCCUAUGGGUUGUAAACCUCUUUUUUCAGGGAGGAAUCAAUGACGUGUACCUGAAGAAUAAGCAUCGGCUAACUCCGUGCCAGCAGCCGCGGUAAU